GUUCCAAACUGCAAACCAGCAUAUGGAGCAAUCUCAACUAGUGUAGGUGUCAAUCCAGCAUAGAGUCCUGGAACACCCCGAGCUCUGAAUAUGUCAAUGAAUGCAGACCUCAUGUUUCGAUAAAUCUUUGGCUCCCCUUGGGAGGCUAAAAUGGUUCUCAGGAGAUCAAAUGGAUAUGAACCAACAGUAGCUGCACAUCCUGCUAAUGCUCCGCUGAUAU
rnacentral:misc_RNA from 1 species